rnacentral:rRNA from 1 species
AGAGUUUGAUCCUGGCUCAGGAUGAACGCUAGCUACAGGCUUAACACAUGCAAGUCGAGGGGAAACGAUAUUGGAAGCUUGCUUCCGAUAGGCGUCGACCGGCGCACGGGUGAGUAACGCGUAUCCAACCUGCCCACCACUUGGGGAUAACCUUGCGAAAGUAAGACUAAUACCCAAUGAUAUCUCUAGAAGACAUCUGAAGGAGAUUAAAGAUUUAUCGGUGAUGGAUGGGGAUGCGUCUGAUUAGCUUGUUGGCGGGGUAACGGCCCACCAAGGCAACGAUCAGUAGGGGUUCUGAGAGGAAGGUCCCCCACAUUGGAACUGAGACACGGUCCAAACUCCUACGGGAGGCAGCAGUGAGGAAUAUUGGUCAAUGGGCGAGAGCCUGAACCAGCCAAGUAGCGUGCAGGAUGACGGCCCUAUGGGUUGUAAACUGCUUUUAUAAGGGAAUAAAGUGGGAGUCGUGACUCCUUUUGCAUGUACCUUAUGAAUAAGGACCGGCUAAUUCCGUGCCAGCAGCCGCGGUAAUACGGAAGGUCCGGGCGUUAUCCGGAUUUAUUGGGUUUAAAGGGAGCGUAGGCCGGAGAUUAAGCGUGUUGUGAAAUGUAGAUGCUCAACAUCUGCACUGCAGCGCGAACUGGUUUCCUUGAGUACGCACAAAGUGGGCGGAAUUCGUGGUGUAGCGGUGAAAUGCUUAGAUAUCACGAAGAACUCCGAUUGCGAAGGCAGCUCACUGGAGCGCAACUGACGCUGAAGCUCGAAAGUGCGGGUAUCGAACAGGAUUAGAUACCCUGGUAGUCCGCACGGUAAACGAUGGAUGCCCGCUGUUGGUCUGAAUAGGUCAGCGGCCAAGCGAAAGCAUUAAGCAUCCCACCUGGGGAGUACGCCGGCAACGGUGAAACUCAAAGGAAUUGACGGGGGCCCG